UACAGAGGGUGCGAGCGUUAAUCGGAAUUACUGGGCGUAAAGCGUGCGUAGACGGUUAUUUAAGUCAGAUGUGAAAGCCCCGGGCUCAACCUGGGAAUUGCAUUUGAGACUGAAUAGCUAGGGUGCGGAAGAGGGAAGCGGAAUUUCCGGUGUAGCAGUGAAAUGCGUAGAUAUCGGAAGGAACAUCAGUGGCGAAAGCGGCUUCCUGGUCCAGCACCGACGUUCAGGCACGAAAGCGUGGGGAGCAAACAGG
rnacentral:rRNA from 1 species